rnacentral:rRNA from 1 species
AACAUCUGAAUGAAUGGCUUAAACCUGCUGAAUUUAAGCAUAUUAGUAAGCAGAGGAACCCCAUCAAACUUGGAUUUUGUAAGUAGUUGCGAAUGAACACAAAUUUGAUCACUUUGGCAAUCUGUACACAUUGCUGUGUAACAAUUUGUAUACGUUGGCACAGUGCUAUCAAAGCUGCAUGCAAGUGUUUUUUGAAAGGAUACAACAUGGGAUGUGAUAUUCAUGUGUGUGUGCCUGCUUUGUCCACAGCCUGUGCUGUAUGAAUCACAUUUCUUGCAACUGAAAUGCUAAUGGCAUGGUAAAGUUCAUGUGACAUGACACAAGCUUGAGAUUCAUGAUGUGCAAGUACCAUGAGGGAAAUGUGAAAAGGACUUUGGAAAGAGAAUUAAAUAAAGCCUGCAUUUGCUGACAAUGAAAGCAAGUGUGGAUGUUCAUGUAAUUGUUACUGCAUCAAUCAAUGUUCAUCUUGGUUACUGCAUGCUUUAUAUUACAGCUCAGAACAUGAAGUGUGUGUAACAGCUCUGCUUUGAUUUUUCCCACAUGGGAUCAGUUGAAACAUUGUGAGAGCACUCUUCAGUUUCCUUAUGUACCCACCAGCUUUGUCCACUCGCGUGUUGGCACACAUGUAAUGAUGAUGUGUUUAUGCAAGAUACUUCUGUGCUCAACAACAUGUUGUGUCAAUCCUCACUUGACCCGUCUUGAAACACGGACCAAGGAGUCUGGCAAGUGUGCAAACCAACUUUCUGUAGAGAUUUGUAUGUAAUGAACAUGUUUGUAUCAUUAUUGCACCACCAAUCAAUAUUCAGCUCGUUGCUUAUUUGAAUGUGAGCAUUGUUGCUAGGACCCGAAAGAUGGUGAACUAUGCUUGCAUAACAUGAGUUCAGAGGAAACUCUGAUGGAAGUUUGUAUCGGUACUGACGUGCAAAUCGUUCGUCACAACUGGGUAUA